CUUACAGUGAGAAGGGGGAUGAGCAGGGGUGAGAUGAGAGCAUCACACCAAAGUGAGGAGGGGUGUUCUGAUUCUGUGCCAGUGUUGAACAGCUAAAUAAAAACUUUCUGAGAGGAGCAAUUGAAGCUGAAGGAAGCUCACUCCUCAGUUGCUAUACCAGGAAGUGGAAAUGAAGUCACUCAGCUCUGCUCUCAAGUUUAUUUACUCUAAAAGGAUGAAGGUAAGGAGCCAACAUCAGAAGUAAAAAGUCACAUAAACAGAAACAGACACCAGUGAGGAAACUACCACAGUCACACAGAAUUUAGAGGCUGGUAAAAGAUAAGCGGAAAAGUCAAAAUUAGACCUGUCACUAUGGAAUAUGAAGAAAAGUAUAC